rnacentral:rRNA from 1 species
AGUGAACGCUGGCGGUAGGCCUAACACAUGCAAGUCGAACGGCAGCACAGUAAGAGCUUGCUCUUACGGGUGGCGAGUGGCGGACGGGUGAGGAAUACAUCGGAAUCUACUUUUUCGUGGGGGAUAACGUAGGGAAACUUACGCUAAUACCUCAUACUACCUACGGGUGAAAGCAGGGGAUCUUCGGACCUUGCGCGAUUGAAUGAGCCGAUGUCGGAUUAGCUAGUUGGCGGGGUAAAGGCCCACCAAGGCGACGAUCCGUAGCUGGUCUGAGAGGAUGAUCAGCCACACUGGAACUGAGACACGGUCCAGAAUCCUAAGGGAGGCAGCAGUGGGGAAUAUUGGACAAUGGGCGCAAGCCUGAUCCAGCCAUACCGCGUGGGUGAAGAAGGCCUUCGGGUUGUAAAGCCCUUUUGUUGGGAAAGAAAAGCAGCAGGUUAAUACCCCGCUGUUCUGACGGUACCCAAAGAAUAAGCAACGGCUAACUUCGUG